rnacentral:rRNA from 1 species
AUUGAACGCUAGCGGGAGGCCUUACACAUGCAAGUCGAGCGGAGCGGCGGACGGGUGAGUAAUGCCUAGGAACCUGCCUAGUAGUGGGGGAUAACUACCGGAAAGGGGAGCUAAUACCGCAUACUAUGAGAUGAGCCUAGGUCGGAUUAGCUAGUUGGUGGGGUAACGGCCUACCAAGGCGACGAUCCGUAGCUGGUCUGAGAGGAUGACCAGCCACACUGGAACUGAGACACGGUCCAGACUCCUACGGGAGGCAGCAGUGGGGAAUAUUGGACAAUGGGCGAAAGCCUGAUCCAGCCAUGCCGCGUGUGUGAAGAAGGUCUUCGGAUUGUAAAGCACUUUUGGUUGGGAGGCGUUACCUACAGAAUAAGCACCGGCUAACUUCGUGCCAGCAGCCGCGGUAAUUC